GCUCAACCUGGGAACUGCAUUUGUGACUGCAAGGCUAGAGUACGGUAGAGGGGGGUAGAAUUCCAGCGUGUAGCAGUGAAAUGCGUAGAUAUGCGGAGGAACACCGAUGGCGAAGGCAGCCCCCUGGAUCUGUACUGACGCUCAUGCACGAAAGCGUGGGGAGCAAACAGGAUUAGAUACCCUGGUAGUCCACGCCCUAAACGAUGUCAACUGGUUGUUGGGU
rnacentral:rRNA from 1 species